AGAAAAGCAAUAAAUGACACGGAUUUACAUGGUUCGGUCGAGAAGACCUACGUCCACGGGGUUUUGGGGGGUUUUCCACUAUAAUCGAGAGUGGUUUACAGUUUACAAGUUGUCGAGUAAGAAAUAAUGACUAUAUGCUAAAAUGAGAGCUAAAAGGAGCUAUUUAUAGGAAAGGGAGAAAGUAAGGGCCCAUUAACCCACUAGCCCUAAAUAAUUGGGCCCAAGCCCCUAUUACAUGAGCUUCGCUCCCUAGUCGAACCGAGAGUCGAGCUGCGCUGCUGCAGUAAUUCCCUUGUUUAGCACAGCGCUGGUGCAUAUUUCAGUCCUCAUCAGCUACUCCCCCCUAGUCUGGUUGAACCGGGUAUUCUUCGUGUUCAACCAGCGAAGUAUUGUUAAAGCCAGUGCUGUGCUGUUUUCCUUAAUCCCUGCAAAUCAUGAAGACAUAAGAGUUUUAAUACUGUAAGAAAGCAAAAAUAAGCAUUUUCCCCUUGACUUUGGAAUUGUAGUUCCAAGUUAGAUUUCCUUCUUGUUUAUUGAAUGUUGACAAAGAUAAAUAACUUCCAUUUCUUUGGGCGCAUAAGAAGACCAGCGCUGAGAAUACCCCAUAUUGAAUACUUUGCAUAGAUAAGCAAUAUAAAUGCUUUGUGUUGGAUGAAUCAGAAGACCGCUGCAAGAAUACCCGAAUAACAUAGGAAGACCCAUGUCGAAGUUGAGAAAUAUGAUACUCUGAUCAUGUGAGAAAACCCGUCAUAAAUAUUUGUCGAGUCUGAACAAUAUACCUUGUUGAGCGCGUGAGAAGACCAAUAGAUGACAAUAGCACGCCAAAAGGCGGCUUAUUUCUCGCUGAGCAGCGAUUAAAAUAGAUCAAAGCAGCCCAUAAAGCAAAGGCGCAAAACAGUGUAGCCCGUAGAGUAGAGCAGAGAAAUACCUGGUCAGAGCAGAGAAAUACUCGUCAGAGCAGCCCGGUCAGAGCAGAGAAAUGCCCUUUCAGAGCAGAGAAAU
rnacentral:lncRNA from 1 species